UACGUAGGGUGCGAGCGUCGUCCGGAAUUAUUGGGCGUAAAGAGCUUGUAGGUGGUUUGUCGCGUCUGCUGUGAAAAUCCGAGGCUCAACCUCGGACUUGCAGUGGGUACGGGCAGACUAGAGUGUGGUAGGGGAGACUGGAAUUCCUGGUGUAGCGGUGGAAUGCGCAGAUAUCAGGAGGAACACCGGUGGCGAAGGCGGAUCUCUGGGCCGUAACUGACGCUGAGGAGCGAAAGCAUGGGGAGCGAACAGG
rnacentral:rRNA from 1 species